rnacentral:lncRNA from 1 species
GUCGAUAUACGCCAAAUAAUUAGUACUUUGUGCGCAGCUUCCAUUCAAACGGAUAACCGCAUCUUAAUGUCUUCUGAUUCCUGCCAUAAGUCGACUCAUUUGUUGCUAAGCUAGCAGCAACCAUUCUUGACACAAGGUAUUGUUUAUUUCAUGACCUGUUUGAACUGGGGUGUCCUUUCGUGCACUUUACGCCCAUCAGUGUCCCAUAUAUGCUCGAUAUGGUUCAAAUUCGGGCUACGAAAGGGCCAAGGAAGAUAAACCGAAUUCCAUUGGAACAAUGGAUCUUCCUCCACAACGUUAAUUUCCAACUUUGGCGAGCUCUGCACAAUAUUGGAUACGGGCAUCUGUGUGUCUGUUCGUAGGCAAAGGUCCCCGAAAUGGUAUUAUCGCACGAUAACCAGUAGCGAUGAGCCGAUCUUGAACAGUUCUUGCUUUAAGGCUCCUGUAUGGUCAUUAUUCACUUUUUAGGAUUGUAUUUUUUGCAAUGGGUUUCCUUCUGACCAACCUUCAUUAUGCUUAAUUUUCCCUAGCAGAUGUUAUAGGGGAUCUUCUUGACCUCGGAAGGUCUUUAACAUCGUUUCUUGCCUGGAUUUUAUUCUCAAAACGACUUAUAGUGGAAUGGAGAUGACCAACAAUACGUGCAAUUAUCACAGCGGCAUACCUGCUUCCCUCAUGCUGGAUAUCUGCCAUCUUGCUGCAGUUAUGAGUUGUGGAUGACCAAUUACAAGGUGUAAAUAACAUAAAUUUAUAAACUUGGUUAUUUUAAGUGUUGAAAACAAUGAGGAUUAAAACAUCUGUUUAAGUGUUUACGAGUACAGUAGCUGCAUGUGCAGAUAAGAACUGAAAGAGUCGAUAUUUAUUGAUUAAACUCAGGUGAUAUUUAAAUAAUGUUUAACUAGUUCUAUUUCAAAAAAUCAUUUAAUAAAAAAAUAAAAAGUAUUUUUUUAAUUUGAAUUUUAAUUUGGUGUUGCAAUACUUUUUUCCAGGUGUAUA